GCAAGCGUUGUCCGGAAUCAUUGGGCGUAAAGAGCGUGUAGGCGGCCCGAUAAGUCCGCUGUGAAAGUCCAGGGCUCAACCCUGGGAUGCCGGUGGAUACUGUCGGGCUCGAGUCCGGAAGAGGAGUGUGGAAUUCCUGGUGUAGCGGUGAAAUGCGCAGAUAUCAGGAGGAACACCAAUGGCGAAGGCAGCACUCUGGGACGUGACUGACGCUGAGACGCGAAAGCGUGGGGAGCAAACAGG
rnacentral:rRNA from 1 species